rnacentral:rRNA from 1 species
GAUGAACGCUGGCGGCGUGCCUAACACAUGCAAGUCGAGCGUGAACCGUCUGAAUGAAACUUCGGUCGAGUGAGGAUGGGGAAAGCGGCGGACGGGUGAGUAACGCGUAGGCAACCUGCCCCCGUACAGAGGGAUAGCCUCGGGAAACCGGGAUUAAGACCUCAUAAUACCAUUAUCUCACAUGUGAUAAUGGUCAAAGAUUUUAUCGGUAUGGGAUGGGCCUGCGUCUGAUUAGCUGGUUGGUGGGGUAACGGCUCACCAAGGCGACGAUCAGUAGCCGACCUGAGAGGGUAAUCGGCCACAUUGGAACUGAGACACGGUCCAAACUCCUACGGGAGGCAGCAGUGGGGAAUAUUGCACAAUGGGCGAAAGCCUGAUGCAGCAACGCCGCGUGAGCGAGGAAGGCCUUUGGGUCGUAAAGCUCUGUCGAGGAGGAAGAUAAUGACGGUACUCCUCGAGGAAGCCCCGGCUAACUACGUGCCAGCAGCCGCGGU